AUAUCGGAGGGUUUAUUCCGAUAAUCCUCCAAUCCAAAUAAAGCAAUCUUUUUAGGAGGAUGUUGUUGGGGCGGCCCUUCCUCGUUUUUAUGUUUGUUUCGGGCAUAAAAAUGGACCUAAAUUAUUUCGCUCCCUCUUUAUUCAAAAAUGAUGAACCCAAAAUUGCUUCCAAAUCGAUUGCUCGAAUUUCCCAAAUUGAUUGCUGCUUGAUUUUCUCACAAAUUGCUUGCUACUCGAAUCAUCACACAUUGAUUGGCUAAUUUCGGCUCGAAUUGCAUCCUAUUGAUACGAAACCCAAACCGAAUGUCUCAGGUAAGCGUGCCAUCUUCCCCAAUCGCGAUGCCGAACCCUACCCCUAAUACAGUGGUAUUAGCCCCCCGCAUUAGAGUGGAUUUUGUAGUAAUUGGAUCUUAUAGCUCAGGAAUUAGCCCAGAAAGGAUUAUUAAAUCCAUCUUAAUGCAUUCAAAUGGGAGAGGAUUUGAUGCGGAUGUCAAGCUUUCUGAGAAGAAUAUUAAGGUGGAACGGUUACCUUCCGAAUAUCGGUGGAGGAAUAAGGAUGUUUUGAUGAGAAAAGCUCAAGGAAGUGUGUUUUUCAGAGAUCUGACAUUCAUGGAUGAAUUGAAACACAUAAUUGGUGACUCCAAAGGUCAAGAAAAGCUGAGGAAGGUUAGGGAAUUUCUUAGGGGGAGAAUGUCCACCUUCAAAAUGUUUUAUGCAGUUACACGUAUCGGUGUUACUUUUAAGAUUCGAGCAUUUUCGCCUGUUUUUGAGGAUGUUGAACAAAUGAUGGCACGGCAUUUUGAUGAUAAAUCUAUGCCACCAGCUAUUGUUGUUAAGGGUGUGCCAUGUUAAUGGUUUGCUGACCACAAUCAGGACUCCUCCCAACCAUCAAAGGACCGCCUACGUUCCUUUUUUGGGACUUUGGGGUUAAUCAGGCCAAAUUUGUGCAAGGAUUGGGAGUCUGUGCAUGGUGCAAAGCUAAGACAAGCUCCCUUAAGUUAGCCAUAGAAUUAAGGUAUUUGGCGUUUUAUUCUGUUAUAAUUUAUUCACAUAUGUGAUUUUUGUUUGCUAUAAAAUAUACUUGUAGGAAUCUUGAUACGAGUGUGAAUGAUGCUGAUGCAAAAUAUUGCAAUGUCACUAUACAAUUUGCCAACUAUGAGGAAUGUCACAAGGCAUUGGAACAAUUGUGCUCCUUCUCUUUAAGAAGGGUAAAGGAGAAUGGUGGUUUCGAAGAAGCCGACUAUGAAGUUAGCUGGAAGGACUCUGUUUCUGUUUCUCAGCAGGAGUAUGAUUUGGCGCCAGUUAGUGAGGAUAUUUCCGAGUUAAAGGUUCUGAAGCACCAAAUGGAAGUGAUGCAAGAGCAGAUGAAGAAAUUGGAAGCCAAACUCAAUAUUCUUGAGGCUAAAGGGGAUUAACAUAAGGGUCGUACGUGUGCCAUAGAGAAAUUGGAUCAUUUGGAAUGGGUUUUAGAAUCCAUUCACCUUUUUUUUUUUUUUUUUUUUUUUCAUACCACCUCCCCUCGAUUCACAAUCCAUUCUUUUAAUGAAGUAUAUAAUCCAUUUUAACAAUAAAACCAAACAACUUUAGACUAGUAUGAGUUUUAGAAUCCAUACCUUUAGUAUAAUUUUUAAUACAGUAGUUAUUAGGCUAUUUUUCUAUGGCACAUGAACUCGAUCUAUUUCUAUAUUUUGUACUAGUAAUAAUAUAUCCUCCACAAGCUAAGGUACUCCAAUAUGAACAUUGCCAUACUUAUUUCUCAAUAUUUAAUCCAAGUUUGAUUUUAAAUCUAGUUAGUAAAAUGUUGAUUAACAGGUUGUUUAAUUACUAAAAUCCCACGAAGUUGAAUAGCUAAUUUGUAUUAUAUAAUUUCAAUUAUUGGCUCCGCUCGAUUUUAUGAUCACCUCUAUGUUAAUUGUCUCGCUUUCUCUCCCAUUCAAAAGUGAUGAACCCUGAAUUCCUCCAAAUUGAUUGCUCUUAAAUCUUUAAUUUUGU